CUUUCGACAUGGACGUUUACGCGCGCUUUCAUGCAGGUCGACAGCAAUAGGUUGAAAAUCACAAGUGAAAACUCUUCUUUAUGCAGCAACACACAACAUUUUUCAUGGACCUCCAGGAAGCUGUGCCCUUCUGUUUUACAGCUUGCCUUCUGAGUGGAGUGUGCAUGUUCUACUCCUGGGCCGCCUUCAUACAGUAUCUCUGAGUCAUGCAGGUCCAGUGCGGUCUAAUGAGGCAAUUAAGAACGCAAAUAAAAUAGAUGAUUACUUUGCCUUGAAGCACAGAAUAUAAAUCAAGAUGCCUCAGUGGAAGGAAAUGGAGAACUACAUUAAAACAAGUGAUUUGGAGAGAGAUCCUGUUCUACCCAAGAAUGACGAGAAUAGCAGAAAUGUUGCUGAGGUGAGUAGAAUUAGUGAGUGCCAGAGGAUCACAAUAGAAAUGGGCAACAGUGAAAGGUAGACCACCAGAACUGGUACUUUGUCAGAGCUGAUAACGGGACUGUGAUACUUGUGUAUGUGUGUGUCAUGUCAGGAAAAAUAUGCAAUGCUUCCAGAAAUGUACAAAGUCAAAAUUUAGCUGGUUAAAAGGGAAAGAACUUUAAAGCAGGGAUUUGUAAUGGCUCAUUAAUGAAGAGAAAUAAAAUUAAGAAC